rnacentral:rRNA from 1 species
GAUUAUGGCUCAGGAUGAACGCUAGCGACAGGCUUAACACAUGCAAGUCGAGGGGCAGCAUAGAAGUAGCAAUACUUGGUGGCGACCGGCGCACGGGUGAGUAACGCGUAUGCAACCUACCUAUCAGAGGGGAAUAACCCGGCGAAAGUCGGACUAAUACCGCAUAAAACAGGGGCACCGCAUGGUGAUAUUUGUUAAAGAAAUUCGCUGAUAGAUGGGCAUGCGUUCCAUUAGGUAGUUGGUGAGGUAACGGCUCACCAAGCCGACGAUGGAUAGGGGAACUGAGAGGUUGGUCCCCCACACUGGUACUGAGACACGGACCAGACUCCUACGGGAGGCAGCAGUGAGGAAUAUUGGUCAAUGGGCGGGAGCCUGAACCAGCCAAGUCGCGUGAAGGAAGAAGGAUCUAUGGUUCGUAAACUUCUUUGCAGGGGAAUAAAGUGCAGGACGUGUCCUGUUUUGUAUGUACCCUGAGAAUAAGGAUCGGCUAACUCCGUGCCAGCAGCCGC